GAAGUAGCGGCUAGAGGGGCCCCCUGCCUCCGCCCCCGCCCUUCCGAGGAUUCCUGGAGUCCACUCACCCCUCCCCAACACUCCAGUAGCUGGCUGGAGUAGCAGCAUCAGGCCGUGGUGUGGCUGCACCUCCGCGAAGGCGGCAGUUCCCCGUGCAGCUGCGGCGUUCAGGUGGGGGAGGGGAGGCUCACACCCUGCGGCGGCUUAAGCCUGGAUGUACGCACUCGAGGAGGGAAUUAGCCCUGAGAUGUCAGCCCUGUGCCCCUGACUCUGUCCACCCGGACGCCUGCGGAGCGCCAGGCGCCGCAGCGGACCGCGCGCGCACUGAUUGCCGCAACUCCUUCCUGCCGUCGCCGCCCGGGACCGGGUGACAUUGAGGUUUUCGUCUAUCGCCGCUGGGCCGAUAGGGCUUCUUUUUAAGAUUUGACUUUCCAAGUAAGAUUUUUGUUUGCCUGCUUUUCUCCUGAAAUUUUUUUUUUUUUUUUUUUGGUCGAAGAAGCAGGUAACUUGCAUAUCUUAAGGAAAACAUCGUUUUUGCUUUGCUUUUGUUGUUUAAAGAUCCUAAAAGCUCUUCGUAUUAUGGCCAAGAUCUCUACAUCCAGGAUGUGCUCCUGCAUCUACGCUAUAUUCCUCUUGGAACUCACUUAACUUCUGGCAGAUGUAGUGACUCACGCCGGUAAUCCAGCACUUUGAGAGGCCAGGUCGGAAGGAUUGCUUGCCUCCAGGAGUUGGAGAUCAGCCUGGGCAACACGGUGAGACUUUGCCUCUACAAAAAGUCAGAAAAUUAGCCUGGCGUGGUGGUUCCUGUUGUUCCAGCUACUCCGGAGGCCGAAGUGGGAGGAUCACUUGAACCUGGAAGGUGGAGGCUGCAGUGAGAAAAAGGCAGAGUGAGACCCUGUCUCAAAAACAAUUGUUACUAUUUAUGUGAAGUCUUCCUAGGCUUCCUGAGGCAGAAUUAAUCAUCCCUUUUCACAGCCCUUUAUCUUUACCUCUGUUAUUCUUGUUUUCUACUAGACCAUGAGUUCUUAAAAAACAGAGUGUCUUCUAUGUAUCCCUCCCUCCCUAACACACUGUCUCUCUCACACACACACACAUACACACACACACACACACACACAGCAGCAAUAUAUCCACACUAUAUAAUUGCCAGUUGAAUUAUUGAAUGACAAAAUACUAGGUAUGUCCAACUUGCUAGGCUAAGGGGCUUUCAAGCACACUAGGUGUUCUUCCAGGGACUUGAAAGUCUCCACACCAUCUCAUUUCAUCUCUGGCAUUUAAAAAAAAAAAAAACCGCUUUUGGCCAGGUGCUGUGGCUUAUUCCUACAAUCCCAACACUUUGGUAGGUCAAGGAGGGAGGAUUGCUUGAGCCCAGGAAUUUGAGACCAGCCUGGGCAACAUAGCAAAACCUGUCUCUACAAAAAAUUUUAAAAGUCAGUUCCUGCCCACCCGGGGGUGCAUUGGGUUGUGUUUAACCCGUUUCUGUUGCCGGGUGUGGUGGCUCAUGCCUGUAAUCCCAACACUUUGAGAAUCCGAGGUGGGUGGAUCACUUGAGGCCAGGAGUUCGAGAUCAGCCUGGGCAACGUGGUGAAACCCCAUCUCUACUGAAGAUACAAAAAUUAGCUGGGCAUGGUGGCGCACACCUGUAAUCCCGGCUACUGGGGAGGCUGAGGCAGGAAAAUUGCACGAACCCAGGAGGCAGAGGUUGCAGUGAACCGAGAUUGCACCACUGCACUCCAGCUAUGCAACAGAGUGAAACUUUGUCUCAAAAAAAAAAAUUACCUAGGUGUGGUGGCCUGAGCCUGUGGUUCCAGCUGCUCAGGAGGCUGAGGUGGGAAGAUUGCUUGAGUCCAAAAUUCAAGGCUGCAGUGAGCAGUGUGAUCAUGCCACUUCACACCAGCCAGGACGACAGAGCAAGAGCCUGUGUCAAAAACAAAAAACAAAAAAAAAAUGUUUCUUCAAAUGACCUGCUGAUUGAUGUACGAAAUUUCUUGAGAAUUAAAUAAAACUUUUGAUUAACACA